UACGGAGGGAGCUAGCGUUGUUCGGAAUUACUGGGCGUAAAGCGCACGUAGGCGGCUUUUUAAGUCAGGGAUGAAAUCCCGGGGCUCAACCCCGGAACUGCCCUUGAAACUGGAGAGCUAGAAUCUUGGAGAGGCGAGUGGAAUUCCGAGUGUAGAGGUGAAAUUCGUAGAUAUUCGGAAGAACACCAGUGGCGAAGGCGACUCGCUGGACAAGUAUUGACGCUGAGGUGCGAAAGCGUGGGGAGCAAACAGG
rnacentral:rRNA from 1 species